rnacentral:rRNA from 1 species
UACAAGUACCGUGGGGAAAGUUGAAAAGCACUUUGAAAAGAGAGUGCAAGAGAACGUGAAAUCGAUGCGAUGGAAGCGGAUGAAGUCGCCGUAUCUAGUGCGUAUUCAGUUGUUGUCGUAGGGAAUCGGUGGUGUGUCAUUCCGCAAGGUUGGCUAGCUGUUGUUGUUUCCGUCGGCAAUAAUGCAUUUGCGUACAGAGUGCAACGAGUCGUUGAGGAUUGUGGAACGGAGCGCCGUUUAGAGGACCUUCUUCGGUUGGAAACCUGGAUUGUGCCGAGAGCCAUUAGUCUUCUUCGGAUUUAGGAUUCAUGGCCUACGACCCGGCUGGGCUUGUUUUAUGGGGUUUGAGGUGAACGCGUGCGUUUGCUUCUUAUGCUGUGGAAUAGGUUGGGUCGGUGUCACUUGGGUCUUCUCGUUGUAUUGGCGAUCACUUAUCCGACCCGUCUUGAAACACGGACCAAGGAGUUUAUAUUACACGCGAUUUAUUGAGUGUCAAAACUCAAAAGAGCAAUGAAAGUGAACAACUGUUUUCGGACAGUAACGUGAUUGUCGGCUCAUUCGUGGGCCAACAGGCAACGUUGCCCCAUUCCAGAGGCUUGCCUCGGGGUGGAGGUUGAGCGUGUGAAAUGAGACCCGAAAGAUGGUGAACUAUGCCUGAACAGGAUGAAGCCAGAGGAAACUCUGGUGGAAGUCCGAAGCGGUUCUGACGUGCAAAUCGAUCGUCUGAUUUUGGUAUAGGGGCGAAAGACUAAUCGAACCAUCUAGUAGCUGGUUCCUUCCG